rnacentral:rRNA from 1 species
UACGUAGGGAGCAAGCGUUGUCCGGAAUCAUUGGGCGUAAAGCGCGCGUAGGUGGCCCUGUAAGUCCGUUGUGAAAGUCAAAGGCUCAACCUUUGAAAGCCGAUGGAUACUGCAGGACUAGAGUACGGAAGAGGCGAGUGGAAUUCCUGGUGUAGCGGUGGAAUGCGUAGAUAUCGGGAGGAACACCCAUGGCGAAGGCAGCUCUCUGGGUUUCACCUGACACUGAGGCGCGAAAGCGUGGGGAGCGAACGGG